UGGGGAAUAUUGGACAAUGGGCGAAAGCCUGAUCCAGCAAUGCCGCGUGAGUGAUGAAGGCCUUAGGGUUGUAAAGCUCUUUUACCCGGGAUGAUAAUGACAGUACCGGGAGAAUAAGCUCCGGCUAACUCCGUGCCAGCAGCCGCGGUAAUACGGAGGGAGCUAGCGUUGUUCGGAUAUACUGGGCGUAAAGCGCACGUAGGCGGCGCAGCAAGUCAGGGGUGAAAUCCCGGAGCUCAACUCCGGAACUGCCCUUGAAACUGCAGUGCUAGAAUCCUGGAGAGGCGAGUGGAAUUCCGAGUGUAGAGGUGAAAUUCGUAGAUAUUCGGAAGAACACCAGUGGCGAAGGCGACUCGCUGGACAGGUAUUGACGCUGAGGUGCGAAAGCGUGGGGAGCAAACAGG
rnacentral:rRNA from 1 species